AUGUAUGAUGAUAUAGCACUGGGCUCUGAGCAGUUUGUUUUCUGCACUUAUUGAUGGAAAUGCACCUAGAAAGCUAAAUCUGACCC